AGUUCUUCCUGAGAAAAGUACCAAGGCAUAGGUUCCUUAAGUGAUCUUAAAUUGUCUCGUAAGCAUUUUAUAUGUGGGAAGCACUUAGGAAAUAAAUGUUCAAUGAAUGAAUUAAUGAAGGAAUGAAUGCAAAAACAGCUAUGAAAAAAAGCUUAAAAAGAUUCUGCCUGCUUAUGCAAGAUGCUAAUCAUAGCAUUCCAGAAUGCUAAUGGAGAAUUAGCCCAUUUUGAAUUUUGGGAAGAGGACCAGUCUGACCAUACAUACACACUUUUCUCAGCACAUGACAGACAGUAGCAUCCUAGCAGCCAUCCUGUAUUUUGAAGAUGAAUGAGUGACACCAAGGAUGAGAAACCAAGAAGACCUCAUCCUUCAAAGUUCAUUCAUUUUUAUUGAAGAGUAAUAGUUUAUUGCAACACAGUGAAAAGGUAACCUACAGAAAGAGAGAAAAAUAUUUGCAAACUAUAUAUCCUAUGUUGAUUAAUUCCCAAAAUAUCUAAGUAAUG
rnacentral:lncRNA from 10 species